AUUGAACGCUGGCGGCAUGCCUUACACAUGCAAGUCGAACGGCAGCACGGACUUCGGUCUGGUGGCGAAUGGCGAACGGGUGAGUAAUAUAUCGGAACGUGCCCUGGAGUGGGGGAUAACUAGUCGAAAGACUAGCUAAUACCGCAUACGAUCUAUGGAUGAAAGUGGGGGAGUGAAAGACCUCAUGCUCGUGGAGCGGCCGAUAUCUGAUUAGCUAGUUGGUAGGGUAAAAGCCUACCAAGGCAUCGAUCAGGAGCUGGUCUGAGAGGACGACCAGCCACACUGGGACUGAGACACGGCCCAGACUCCUACGGGAGGCAGCAGUGGGGAAUUUUGGACAAUGGGGGCAACCCUGAUCCAGCAAUGCCGCGUGAGUGAAGAAGGCCUUCGGGUUGUAAAGCUCUUUUGUCAGGGAAGAAACGGUCCGGGCUAAUAUCCUGGGCUAAUGACGGUACCUGAAGAAUAAGCACCGGCUAACUACGUGCCAGCCGCCGCGGUAACAC
rnacentral:rRNA from 1 species